rnacentral:rRNA from 1 species
UACGUAGGGACCAAGCGUUGUCCGGAAUCAUUGGGCGUAAAGAGCGUGUAGGCGGCUUGUCGCGUCGGCUGUGAAAACCUGGGGCUCAACUCCGGGCCUGCAGCCGAUACGGGCAAGCUAGAGUUCGGUAGGGGAGACUGGAAUUCCUGGUGUAGCGGUGAAAUGCGCAGAUAUCAGGAGGAACACCGGUGGCGAAGGCGGGUCUCUGGGCCGAUACUGACGCUGAGGAGCGAAAGCGUGGGGAGCAAACAGG